UUUAACUUUGGUGUUUGCUUUGAUGUCAUGCACUGAAGCUUGUAGUGUGGGGCCCUCUGGAAUACUCCACCCCUGCAUGGGAGUACAAGUGGUGAUCCUAACCUAUGGAAGAAACUCAUAUGGUGAACCCAAAGCUACCUAGACUGGACUGACCCUUCAGAUUGGAGUAAACAUCGUGUGUGAGGAGGGGGUGCUGAGCACAUUGAGGGUUUGAUGUACUUGACUGA
rnacentral:lncRNA from 1 species